UACGUAGGGGGCGAGCGUUGUCCGGAAUCAUUGGGCGUAAAGCGCGUGUAGGCGGCUCGAUAAGUCCGGUGUGAAACCUUGGGGCUCAACCCCAAGCCUGCACUGGAUACUGCCGAGCUAGAGUCCGGGAGGGGAGAGCGGAAUUCCUAGUGUAGCGGUGAAAUGCGCAGAUAUUAGGAAGAACACCGGUGGCGAAGGCGGCUCUCUGGAACGGUACUGACGCUGAGACGCGAAACGUGGGGAGCGAACGAGGA
rnacentral:rRNA from 1 species